GUGAUGAGGGUAGUAGAACGAUAGGUGAAGAGGCUGAGCUACGCUGA
rnacentral:snoRNA from 1 species